GCGUGCUGCCGGGGAGACAUCCACGGGAAGCUCGACUAUAUGUGCCCGCAUCUCUUUCCUUCCUUUCUUCCGCAUGUCACUUUUUGUGUCAUUCUCCUCCCUUUUUUCAGAAAAUGCUCUUGGAGUUGCAGCCCUUCAGGAAAGAGACUCUUCAAGAGGUGAUCUAUUUUAUAAAAAGCUUUCCAUGAACCAAUUCAUCUUUCUUGAGUGUUCAAUAGUGCUUUUGGUUAGAAGCUGCAAAAUGGAAAUGUGUUGGAGCUAUUGACAAUUUGACAUCACUCAAUAUCUGUUCAGAUAUAUAUUUGCCUAGCCCAGGGAUAUUGAAUGCAACAUUUGGUUGAAGCUUUUGAAAGAAUGGGCAUACCAGUGAUCCUUUUCUUGAUUCUCUAAAGCAUAUUGUUUGAUUGAGCUAAACUUGGAACGUGUCACCAAAUCUGAGAUCUAGAACAUGUUGCUCCUAGCAGGGCCCAAAUAUAAUCAAAAUAAACAUGUAGGUUUUUAGUGUUGCUGAUGUAUUGUUCUGCUAGAUGUUUGAUGUGUGUUGCUGCGAGUUUGUGGAUUGCGGGCUUCUUGGUGAUGUGUGCCUGCUCGAGUGCAUUGGUGGUCUGUGUGGUGGAUGCAGCCAUUGCUUCAUGUUUGUUUUUG